ACGAACGCUGGCGGCGUGCCUAAUACAUGCAAGUAGAACGCACAGUUUAUACCGUAGCUUGCUACACCAUAGACUGUGAGUUGCGAACGGGUGAGUAACGCGUAGGUAACCUGCCUGGUAGCGGGGGAUAACUAUUGGAAACGAUAGCUAAUACCGCAUAAUAUUAAUUAUUGCAUGAUAAUUAAUUGAAAGGUGCAAUUGCACCACUACCAGAUGGACCUGCGUUGUAUUAGCUAGUAGGUGAGGUAACGGCUCACCUAGGCGACGAUACAUAGCCGACCUGAGAGGGUGAUCGGCCACACUGGGACUGAGACACGGCCCAGACUCCUACGGGAGGCAGCAGUAGGGAAUCUUCGGCAAUAGACGAAAGUCUGACCGAGCAACGCCGCGUGAGUGAAGAAGGUUUUCGGAUCGUAAAGCUCUGUUGUAGGAGAAGAACGGGUGUGAGAGUGGAAAGUUCACACUGUGACGGUAUCUUACCAGAAAGGGACGGCUAACUACGUG
rnacentral:rRNA from 1 species